rnacentral:tRNA from 1 species
GAGGUUGUGGCUCAGUGGAGUAGAAUGCUUGCCUAGCAUGCUUGAGGCACUGAGUUCAAUCCUCAGCACCACA